CCUAUCAACUUUCGAUGUUACUAUCUGCACCUACCAUGGUAUCCACGGGUAACGGGGAAUCAGGGUUCGAUUCCG